UUCACCCAUGGCUGUAAGUCACUUUGGAUAAAAGCAUCUGCUAAAUUGUAUAUA
rfam:Salmo salar isolate Sally breed double haploid chromosome ssa09, whole genome shotgun sequence.